GUCUCCAUCGUCUAGAGGCCUAGGACAUCACCCUUUCACGGUGAGUACCGGGGUUCGAAUCCCCGUGGAGACG
rnacentral:tRNA from 3 species